UACGGAGGAUCCGAGCGUUAUCCGGAUUUAUUGGGUUUAAAGGGUGCGUAGGCGGCCAGUUAAGUCAGGGGUGAAAUACGGUGGCUCAACCAUCGCAGUGCCUUUGAUACUGAUGGGCUUGAAUCCAUUUGAAGUGGGCGGAAUAAGACAAGUAGCGGUGAAAUGCAUAGAUAUGUCUUAGAACUCCGAUUGCGAAGGCAGCUCACUAAGCUGGUAUUGACGCUGAUGCACGAAAGCGUGGGGAUCGAACAUG
rnacentral:rRNA from 1 species